GAUGAACGCUGGCGGCGUGCCUAAUACAUGCAAGUCGAGCGAACAGAUGAGGAGCUUGCUCCUCUGACGUUAGCGGCGGACGGGUGAGUAACACGUGGAUAACCUGCCUAUAAGACUGGGAUAACUUCGGGAAACCGGAGCUAAUACCGGAUAAUAUAUUGAACCGCAUGGUUCAAUAGUGAAAGACGGUUUUGCUGUCACUUAUAGAUGGAUCCGCGCCGCAUUAGCUAGUUGGUAAGGUAACGGCUUACCAAGGCAACGAUGCGUAGCCGACCUGAGAGGGUGAUCGGCCACACUGGAACUGAGACACGGUCCAGACUCCUACGGGAGGCAGCAGUAGGGAAUCUUCCGCAAUGGGCGAAAGCCUGACGGAGCAACGCCGCGUGAGUGAUGAAGGUCUUCGGAUCGUAAAACUCUGUUAUUAGGGAAGAACAAAUGUGUAAGUAACUAUGCACGUCUUGACGGUACCUAAUCAGAAAGCCACGGCUAACUACGCG
rnacentral:rRNA from 1 species